AUUGAACGCUGGCGGCAGGCCUAACACAUGCAAGUCGAGCGGAUGACGGGAGCUUGCUCCUUGAUUCAGCGGCGGACGGGUGAGUAAUGCCUAGGAAUCUGCCUGGUAGUGGGGGACAACGUUUCGAAAGGAACGCUAAUACCGCAUACGUCCUACGGGAGAAAGCAGGGUACCUUCGGGCCUUGCGCUAUCAGAUGAGCCUAGGUCGGAUUAGCUAGUUGGUGGGGUAAUUGCUCACCAAGGCGACGAUCCGUAACUGGUCUGAGAGGAUGAUCAGUCACACUGGAACUGAGACACGGUCCAGACUCCUACGGGAGGCAGCAGUGGGGAAUAUUGGACAAUGGCGAAAGCCUGAUCCAGCCAUGCCGCGUGUGUGAAGAAGGUCUUCGGAUUGUAAAGCACUUUAAGUUGGGAGGAAGGGCAGUAAGUUAAUACCUUGCUGUUUUGACGUUACCGACAGAAUAAGCACCGGCUAACUCUGUGCCAGCCGCCGCCGUAA
rnacentral:rRNA from 1 species